AGACAUUGCUGGACGGCAGAGGUACUAGUGACAUGUCUGGUGGCCACACUGAGCGCUUGUCUCUUAUUGGAGCUCUGCUAGCUCUCUACUGACACCUCUGGCCAAAUUUAAUAUGACACAUUUCUGCUAACCUCAGGUUUUUACAUUAUCAUAUGUUACUUUGUGACUAUAUGGGCCUGAGGUCUUGCUAUAUGUGAUUCUGCACCGCCGGCUUCCUUCCUCUUAAUUUCAUCCAGAGGAGUCUUUCUGCGUCCUGAUAGUGGUGUCCUUUCUCUGGGGUGUGCAGGGUUGAUUAAACGCUGUGAUUGAAAAGUGGUUCUUAUACUCGUUGACUACAUAUACUUCGGCCCCUGAUGAAGGGUAAUCCGAAACGCGUAGGGCCGUGUAUGUCUUCAUGGACCUUGCUUUUCAAUGACACCUAACCAUGUAUUGUUUUUAAAUAAUUCUAUGUGAUAUAUGUGUACAAUUUCCAUUUUUGAAUAUUAAAUUAUCUAUUUUUUUGG